GACGGCGCGCAGGACACACUACCGGACUUGGGACCGGGAGAGGAAGGCAGUAUUCUCGGGGGAGCGGUAAAAUGUUAUAAUCCCGAGAGGACUACCGAUGGCGAAGGCAGCCUUCUAGAACGGAUCCGACGGUGAGGGAUGAAAGCUAGGGGAGCGAUCGGGAUUAGAUACCCCAGUAGUCCUAGCUGUAAACGCUGCGAGCCAGAUGUUGCACAAUCUACGAGAUUGUGCAGUGUCGAAACGAAGGUGUUAAGCUCGCCACCUGGGAAGUACGGUCGCAAGGCUGAAACUUAAAGGAAUUGGCGGGGGAGCACCACAAGGGGUGCGGCGUGCGGUUUAAUCGAAUUCAACGCCGAGAAUCUCACCAGGGGCGACGGCAGGAUGAUAGUCAGUCCAAAGGGCUUACUUGACGAGCCGAGAGGUGAUGCAUGGCCGCCGUCAGCUCGUGCCGUAAGGUGUCCUGUUAAGUCAGGCAACGAGCGAGACCUGUAUCCACUGUUGCUAACGUGCCCGCAAGGGUGAGCGAGCACACUGUGGAGACUGCCUUCGAAAGGAGGAGGAAGGCGCAGGCUACGGUAGGUCUGUAUGUCCCGAAUCUUCUGGGCUACACGCGCGCAACAAUGGUCGUGACAAUGGGCUGCCACACCGAAAGGUGAAGCGAAUCCUCGAAACACGACC
rnacentral:rRNA from 1 species